UGCUACAUUGUAUAGUCUUAGCCUGAAGAA
rnacentral:piRNA from 1 species